UACGUAGGGUGCAAGCGUUGUCCGGAAUUAUUGGGCGUAAAGAGCUCGUAGGCGGUCUGUCGCGUCUGCUGUGAAAACUCAGGGCUUAACCCUGAGCUUGCAGUGGGUACGGGCAGACUAGAGUGCGGUAGGGGAGACUGGAAUUCCUGGUGUAGCGGUGAAAUGCGCAGAUAUCAGGAAGAACACCGGUGGCGAAGGCGGGUCUCUGGGCCGAUACUGACGCUGAGGAGCGAAAGCGUGGGGAGCGAACAGG
rnacentral:rRNA from 1 species